rnacentral:rRNA from 1 species
UAGUAUUCAAUUGUCAGAGGUGAAAUUCUUGGAUUUAUUGAAAACUAACUAUUGCGAAAGCAUUUGCCAAGGAUGUUUUCAUUAAUCAAGAACGAAAGUUAGGGGAUCGAAGACGAUCAGAUACCGUCGUAGUCUUAACCAUAAACUAUGCCGACUAGGAAUCGGGCGACGUUAUUUUCACGACUCG